rnacentral:rRNA from 1 species
AGUGAACGCUGGCGGUAGGCCUAACACAUGCAAGUCGAACGGCAGCACCGUAAGAGCUUGCUCUUACGGGUGGCGAGUGGCGUACGGGUGAGGAAUACAUCGGAAUCUACUUUUUCGUGGGGGAUAACGUAGGGAAACUUACGCUAAUACCGCAUACGACCUACGGGUGAAAGCAGGGGAUCUUCGGACCUUGCGCGAUUGAAUGAGCCGAUGUCGGAUUAGCUAGUUGGCGGGGUAAAGGCCCACCCAGGCGACGAUCCGUAGCUGGUCUGAGAGGAUGGUCAGCCACACUGGAACUGAGACACGGUCCAGACUCCUACGGGAGGCAGCAGUGGGGAAUAUUAGACAAUAGGCGCAAGCCUGAUCCAGCCAUACCGCGUGGGUGAAGAAGGCCUUCGGGUUGUAAAGCCCUUUUGUUGGGAAAGAAAAGCAGCAGGUUAAUACCCCGCUGUUCUGACGGUACCCAAAGAAUAAGCACCGGCUAACUUCGUG